rnacentral:lncRNA from 1 species
GUGAGGCUGCUCUAGGACUGGGCUCCGAUCUUUACCUACACUUUCUGAACAUUUUGCAAGAAAUGAAAUUUAAACAAAGGAGCUUGCCUUCCGGACAACAAAGGCCUACCUGCAACCAGGUGCAUCCCUGGUUUCUGUCAUGUACAUCUACACCAAAAACUAUAAAGACACCUGAGUGUGAACUUCCAUGGCAUUCACCAUAACGGAAACCUUCUCUGACUAGCAAAUAGCUUUUCCUUUUUUACUUUCUAAUAAACAUACAUUUGACUACUCC